CCAGGUCCUCACAGUGUGCCAUGCUGGAAGAUGCAGGAAUGCACAAAACGAUACAGGGGCAGCAAACGGAAUUAGAUGUAUGCAGAGGUAACAGUUCUACUGGCUGGUAUCAACUCUGACAACAUCACCUAUUUGUGUGUAUUGAUUAACAUAUAAUCCAUAGGAAGCCUCAUAGCCCAGAACCGUCCAGUGAAAUGAAGCAGCCCCAAACUGACUCAUUUAUUACCUAUUCAUUUGUUGUGAUGAAACCUCCAGGAGCAAAAAAAAAUGCUGCAGUAUAGUAAUGUUUGAACAUUAAGACCUAUUCUGAUCAACUGAAAUUAUUCCUUAAACUGAAAACCACAAACAGAACGUAUAUAAAAUAUAACUUGCAUGUGUGAUCACCAGCAUUCUGUUUUAAAAUAUUAUUUUGCAAUGAAACAAGAUCAAAUUCUUUGAAGCCUGGGUGUGUUUUACAUUAUGUCAAGCUGCUGUUUCCAUUAUUUCUUCUUUGUCCACUAAAGGUUAACUCGUACUUACCAAUGGCUCAUUUGCAGAGUUACGAUACGAAUCAGUGAUAUCUUUAGGAUCAUAAUAAAACAGAAAACUGGUUUUGGACUUUUGCUGCUGGGUGAGAGUCAAGAUCAGAAAGACCAGUGUAAAAAUGCAAAGCAAAUACCCCCUCCUAAAAUUUCUAAAUCACAUAAUGUUAGUGUAACAUAAUUUGGAAUAUAUUAUGAUGGUUACAAUUACUAAAAAGUGCAUGAUGCCAUUAUUUCCAACUGGAAAUUAGAUGAUUAUACUAAUUAAGUGAUAGCAGGUGGCAGAAUGACUGCUACAAUCUUCUCUGAUGUGCAGAGAGAGAUGCAUGGUUCACUGUCUAAAACACUCAGGAAUAGUAACAAUUGGCUUAACCAAUAUUCUGUCCCAAGAUGCAGAAUAAGGAUUCACUUUGAUUUAACACUUCCUUAUCACAUCAAAGAGGUGAAGGGACAUCUUUAUGGAUUGGCUUAGGAAGAAAAAAAUGCUACCAGUUCAGCUUCCACCCUUGCAUCUAACAUUUCUUGGUAUAACAGAAAUAAAGUAUGAAAUGAAUUCCAAGAGAAUCGUGUAAUUCUAAAAUGUCAGCAACCUUCCUUUAAAUUGCAACUGGCCUAAAUUCAUCAUUACUGCUUUUAAGUUCCUCAAUUUGGAAUUGCUAUAGAUGUGCUAUUGAGUCUCGUAAGUCAAGCAAACUGGAAAUGCUGUAGUAAAAUGAAUAUUUCUCUGUCAAUAAAAGCAUUAAAUACUUUCAAGAAUAUAUGUGGUCAUUAAAUACAUUUGAGUUUUAACUCAAAUUUACUAAGCAAUAGUUGCACAUUGUUUUUACUGCAGGAUUUGAAGAUUAUUCACAAUUUCACUGAGUUAGAAAAAUAAUCCUCCAGUCCUGUGAGUUAUUUCAGAUGUUGUUUUUCUUGUCCUCUCUGCUGUGUUCAGACUGAAGUAAGGCUAAGUCAUCAUCCACAAUUAGUUUUCCAGAUAAUUCAUCGUUAGUUUAAAAACUAUGAGGUAUGUUUAAGAAGCUACUCUCUUUUAUUUGGACUUCCAUGUGCUCCUGGACUGUGACCUCAGUUUAAGGAUGGCAGGGGAGCAAAUAUGCUGAAGAAAAACCACGCUGUGCAAGAAUGCAACCACCAUAUGCCUAAGAGGCAAAAGAAGCGAUUCUUAUAAAUGAUGAAAAAUAAAUGUUAUCUAAUUUCUGAAAACAUCUUAUCUAGUUUCAUCUGUCUCUGUAGCAUUCAUUUUAGUUUUGUUACUGUAUUUCAUACUACAGAUCAAAAGCAUGGCUGAUAAGACUUAAGUUUAGAUAUAUUUGUAACAUGCUAUGAUAUCUUACAGCAUAGCUAGUUCGUUCAAACAAUUACUGCCUUUUCCCUUUACAUCUUGCAAAGCCUUACCGGUGCCACAAUUUAAAGAAAUAUUUUUGCUAUCUGACUUUCCACAGGUGAACACAAGAGAAAGCUGGAUCAGAGAGUAGAAGGUGAAAAACUAUUGUUUAGUUUGUUAUAUAACAUAUUUGUUAUGUCGAGCAUUAGAUUGUGGUGAUAUUCUCUUCACAGUGAUGACACGUGCAAAUUAAGCUACCCUACUCUUCUUAUAAAACUCACAUAGUUGUAUGUGCUGUGAUAACCACAAAUACUGUGCAGAAUAUGUCUUUAGCAAGGACAAAAAAGAAAGUUUUUCUAACUUGGAAGCCUAAACGAACCUUUUUUUUCAGAGUGAAACUUGAAAGCUUGUGAAAAUCACUCACCUGCCUUUCCUAAUGUUUUAAUAGAACUUAAUGGAAGGAAACAAAACUUCUGAUUACAAAAAAUGCCUUAUCUCCUCCAUGAAUGCCAAACUGCUCAGCAUUUAGAAUGCUAUCACACAGACGUCGUUCAGUGAAUUGAAAAAAACAGUUGCAUCUUUUCCAGGGAAAAAAUUGAGCAAAUUUCCUGCAAUGAAUAUGAAAAAUA